GGAGCUUGCUCCUGUGAUUAGUGGCGAACGGGUGAGUAACACGUGAGUAACCUGCCCCUGACUCUGGGAUAAGCGUUGGAAACGACGUCUAAUACUGGAUACGACUGCCGGCCGCAUGGUCUGGUGGUGGAAAGAUUUUUUGGUUGGGGAUGGACUCGCGGCCUAUCAGCUUGUUGGUGAGGUAAUGGCUCACCAAGGCGACGACGGGUAGCCGGCCUGAGAGGGUGACCGGCCACACUGGGACUGAGACACGGCCCAGACUCCUACGGGAGGCAGCAGUGGGGAAUAUUGCACAAUGGGCGAAAGCCUGAUGCAGCAACGCCGCGUGAGGGAUGACGGCCUUCGGGUUGUAAACCUCUUUUAGUAGGGAAGAAGCGAAAGUGACGGUACCUGCAGAAAAAGCACCGGCUAACUACGUGCCAGCAGCCGCGGUAAUACGUAGGGUGCAAGCGUUGUCCGGAAUUAUUGGGCGUAAAGAGCUCGUAGGCGGUUUGUCGCGUCUGCUGUGAAAUCCCGAGGCUCAACCUCGGGCUUGCAGUGGGUACGGGCAGACUAGAGUGCGGUAGGGGAGAUUGGAAUUCCUGGUGUAGCGGUGGAAUGCGCAGAUAUCAGGAGGAACACCGAUGGCGAAGGCAGAUCUCUGGGCCGUAACUGACGCUGAGGAGCGAAAGCGUGGGGAGCGAACAGGAUUAGAUACCCU
rnacentral:rRNA from 2 species